rnacentral:rRNA from 1 species
CUGGAGACAGGUGGCUGCAUGGCUGUCGUCAGCUCGUGUCGUGAGAUGUUGGGUUAAGUCCCGCACGAGCGCAACCCUUGCCUUUAGUUGCCAGCAGUUCGGCUGGGCACUCUAAAGGGACUGCCGGUGUUAAACCGGAGGAAGGUGGGGAUGACGUCAAGUCCUCAUGGCCUUUAUGACCAGGGCUACACACGUACUACAAUGGCCGAUACAAAGGGCAGCGACACUGCGAGGUGAAGCCAAUCCCGUAAAAUCGGUCUCAGUCCGGAUUGGAGUCUGCAACUCGACUCCAUGAAGUUGGAAUCGCUAGUAAUCGUGGAUCAGCAUGCCACGGUGAAUACGUUCCCGGGCCUU